CAUAAAUGAUUUUUGGAUUCGGAGCGAGUGGCGAACUGGUGAGUAACACGUGGGUAACCUGCCCCGAAGCGGGGGAUAACAUUUGGAAACAAGUGCUAAUACCGCAUAAUUAGUUGGAACCGCAUGGUUCCAACUUGAAAGAUGGCUCUGCUAUCACUUUGGGAUGGACCCCCGCCGUAUUAGUUAGUUGGUGAGAUAAAAGCCCACCAAGACGAUGAUACGUAGCCGACCUGAGAGGGUAAUCGGCCACAUUGGGACUGAAACACGGCCCAAACUCCUACGGGAGGCAGCAGUAGGGAAUCUUCCACAAUGGACGAAAGUCUGAUGGAGCAACGCCGCGUGAGUGAUGAAGGUUUUCGGAUCGUAAAACUCUGUUGUUAAAGAAAAACAAGUGUUAGAGUAACUGUUAACACUUUGACGGUAUUUAACCAGAAAGCCACGGCUAACUACGUGCCAGCAGCCGCGGUAAUACGUAGGUGGCAAGCGUUGUCCGGAUUUAUUGG
rnacentral:rRNA from 1 species